AUUGAACGCUGGCGGCAGGCUUAACACAUGCAAAUCGAGCGGGGGAGGUUGCCUCGGUAACUGACCUAGCGGCGGACGGGUGAGUAAUGCUUAGGAAUCUGCCUAUUAGUGGGGGACAACAUUCCGAAAGGAAUGCUAAUACCGCAUACGCCCUACGGGGGCAAGCAGGGGAUCUUCGGAUCUUGCGCUAAUAGAUGAGCCUAAGUCGGAUUAGCUAGUUGGUGGGGUAAAGGCCAAUCAAGGCGACGAUCUGUAGCGGGUCUGAGAGGAUGAUCCGCCAUACUGGGGCUUAGACACGUGCCAGACUCCAUCGGGAGGCAGUAGUGGGUAAUAUUGGACAAUGGGCGGAAGCCUGAUCCAGCCAUGCCGCGUGUGUGAAGAAGGCCUUUUGGUUGUAAAGCACUUUAAGCGAGGAGGAGGCUAUUAAGGUUAAUACCCUUGAUGAGUGGACGUUACUCGCAGAAUAAGCACCGGCUAACUCUGUGGCAGCCGCCGCAGUAAAAC
rnacentral:rRNA from 1 species